rnacentral:lncRNA from 12 species
GGGCACCCUGUACAUCUGUAUUUUUGUACAGUAACCCACCCCUCACCUCUAGGCUGACGGCAUUUCUUCUUCCUCCUCCUUUAAAGAUGCUUAAACUGCUUUUCUGGAAUCAUGAGCAUCAUGCACCCUUAAGCUUGUCUUCAGGACUUACUCCCAUAACUUCCCCCACAGGCAACAGUAUUCAGUCCAUCAUCCCAAGCUUAUACUUUGCCUUUGGCUCUGGGCUUAGAAAGGAUCAGACUCAGGCUUGAGGCACAGUUGUCAAAAGGGAUUGUGAAGUCAGCCCUGGUUCAGAGUUUGUGGAUACACAGAGCUUCAGCCCAAAGGGAAGAACCUGUAGCAAGAGAUUCUUAGGGUAACCCCAGUUUUGAUGGGAGGUGGGAGGAGGCUGGUGGGUUUGGGAUGAUAAGCAAGAGCUUGGGGCUUGGCGUUUGUGGCCAUGUCACUGGACACCAAGGCUGGGAAUGGGAACUAGUUCCAGGACACUUCCUGCCAGAAUUGGCUGUGGAACUGAGGUAGACAUGAGGGUAGAAUGGAGACCCUAGUGAAGCCAGCUUUCAGGAGUUAAGGAGGAAGAAGCUAGAAAAGAAAAAAAAGAUGGUCACAGGAAGAAAAUGAUAUAGAUACUUCUUGGAGGAGACACAGACUUGAAAAAUGACUAUGUAGUAUAGGAAGACAGGCAGAGAAAGAUCUUUUUCCACUAAAAUGAAUUGUUUGAGAGAACUUUUAAGAAGAAAAAAAGGUGGUGUAGUUAUAAAUUUUAGCUUUUCCAAACUAAACAGAAAAUGGUUAUGAGAGUAGCUCUAGAUUUACUCACAAACCAGAUGCAUCUACUUUCUUUCAGCGUGCCUGCACCUUGCCAAAGGAAAAAGAAUCCAUUUCCAUUUCAGAACUCACAAGCCCCAAGUCAGAUGACAACUUUCUCAAUAGUGGAAGGUCAAUCAAAGGCAACAUCCAGGCUUGAAGAGGUCCCCUGGUUAGAAGAAAAAGGAGAAUUGUACUGAUUACAGACUUCAUCACAGGGAAUCUGAGGUUGUGUGGACACAUCGGAACCAAACAAGAUCACAGACAAACCUGACUUUAGGGCAACCUUAAAAACUGGCACCAGCCUCUGAAUUCCAAAUCUGAGAGGAUUUUUGCAAAGCACAAGGAAAGAAGGACAUGAUUAACAGGUAACACAGCUUGAAUUUCUGGCAGGUUGUUGCAAUGAAU